UGGAAAAGGUGACUGCGAAGCAAAAGC
rnacentral:piRNA from 1 species